rnacentral:tRNA from 1 species
GCCUUCGUGGUGUAGUGGUCAGCUCGCUCGGCGCGCAUUCGAUGGGUCCGUGUUCGAGUCCCGGCGAGGGCA